rnacentral:lncRNA from 10 species
AAUAAAUAAUUUAGUGGGCAAAUCCAUAAUAUGUUGUGAUCUUCACAUGCUAAGGGAAUUUUCUUUAUUCUAUUUUUAACUUUCCUUUUGCUGGCAAAGUUUGAGACAAACAACAUCUAGAAGAUAAGAAAUGAGGAAGAAACAGCCACUCACAGUGUAAUAUUUUCCCAGAUGUGGAGCACGUAGGCUGAGGGGCUUAAAAUACUUCCUUCCUGUUCAGUGGUGUCUUUGCUCUCCAAACACUUCAGAGUGUAUCAAAUCAAUAGGAUUUCUUAUUUAUAUCUAGUCGAAGCAACACAACACUAGAUCAAUUUGACUUGAAAGAACACCAGAUUAAUUUCAGAGGAGACAGAGAACACAUGCAAUUCUGAACAAUUCAAGGAGUCCUUACAGAUGCCUGUGGAGGAUGCACAGGUGACAAGGUCCCUAGUGUCCUUGUCCUAAGGAGCAGAUAGUUCAUUCAACUGACAACUUACUUAAUCUAAUAACCCCACCCUUUCCUACUAGAUAGGGCAGGAUUUUUGUCAACCACAAAACCUUGAGAAAAUAAGCUGGUUUUUACAUAGAAAACAAAAGAGAAACACUGGCAAAUUCUGUUUUAUUUAAGAGCCAUUGCCACUGAGGACAGUGUGCAUGAUGAGUCUGAAGCAACUUCAACAAAAGAGCCUAGAAGCAAGAAGUAGGAAAAUACAAUAGGUGGCAUUUCUCUUUAUUUGGGAACUCCAGUCCCACAGCCCCAAAUGGCUGAGAAGCUGGCCUUCUGGAAAUAUUUUGAGGUCAGGGAAGACUGGCCUGAAACUGAAAUUACUCAUCAUAAUUUUGGAAACUAGCCCACACAGUACAGACUCAGACACAACCUGUGGCUUUCUUAAUGUCAAUUGGUAAAGGUUACUGUUUCCUGUUAUGGAGAGAUGAUGCCAGACAAAGAAGGGGCCAGAUCACAAAGGGCCUCACAAUCCAAGAUGAGGCAUUGGACUUGGUCCUAAGAGCAGUGGAAUCACUGAUGGGCAGUAGAAAUACUACUCCAUGAAGAAGGGGUUGGAUUCAGCCUAUAUCAGAAGCAGGAAGACCAGUCAGGAUCCUGUUGCAUUGACCCAUGGAAGACAUGUUAGAGGCCCACAUGACAGUAGGUGUACCAGACAUAGAUUGUUAGAGAUAUUGAAGAUGUAGAAGUAAUAGAAUACAGUAAAUUAGAAGUAGUGUGGUAAGAGAGAUGUGAGAGUCAAGUACAAUGCUCAUAGCACUGGCAUGGCAAUAGUGCAUAAUUUUUCUCGGCCCCUUCAUUGAACUUGUGACAAGGGUGAACGUUUACUCCACUCACCAUGCUCAACCCCUUGCAGGAAGGAUCAUGUGAGUGAGCAAGUGCAGGAUCUGACUGGCCACUCCGGGCGCUGACCUAGGAACAAGCUCUAGGUGGGGCCUACAGCCAGACCAGGUGCAAGUGAGUGAGUGCAGGACCCAGCUGGUCACUCCAGACACCAGCGGGAGAAAGCUCCGUGCAGCGGUGCCCAGGUUGUAGGGGGCUGCCUGCGACCUUGAGGCCCCAGAGUGGGUAUAACAAUGCUCCUUUAGUUCUGCUGUCCAUGGACGGCUGUGUAUUAACAGCUCAGUUGGCCCCUUGCCUCCUUGCAUGGGGUGGCUGCCCUCCACCGGCAAGGGCAAAGUUGACUCUAGUCCAUCUCAUGUAUUAAACAAAAAAAAUAAAAUUCAAACCUAGCAUGAAAAGGAAUUGCUAAGAGCUUCUAGUUUACCAAAGAUCCUGUAAUACAGAUAUUGCUAAAGAUCAUUUGAAGGAAAAUUGGUAUUUGUGCAAGGUGUUUAGGUUUUCUGACUGCCAAAAAAGGUUGUCUCCAAUGCAUAGCAAUACAUAGGAAUUGAAGUGUGUGUGAAUUCAAAUCUCUUGAGAUUACAUAGUUGAUUUAUGAGCCAAAGACUCUUCCCAAUUCAGUGGGAUUCAGAAUGAACUUGUCAUGGGAAAUGGAGAAAACAUUUUUUAUAAAAUUCAAAACCGGGCUGGGUGCAGUGGCUCACACCUGUAAUCCCAGCACUUUAGGAGGCUGAGGCAGGCAGAUUGCUUGAGCCCAGGAGUUCAAGACCAGCCUGGACAACAUGGUGAAACCCUAUAUCUACUAAAAAUAUAAAAAAUUAGCCAGUUGUGGUGGCACAUGCCUGUAGUCCCAGCUACUCAGGAGGCUGCAGUGGGAGGAUCACCUGAGCCUGGGAAGUCAAGGCUGCAGUGAGCUGUGAUCACGUCACUGCACUCCAGCCUAGGUGACAGGAGUGAGAUCCUGUCUCAAAAAAAAAAAAAAAAUCAAACUGGUAAUCAUUAUUCUUUCCCAAGCUACCCUCUGGAAAAUUGUUCAUAAUAAGGUUUUUGGCUUCAGGGGAAAUGGUCCCGGAAGGGCUUACUUGCUGCAUUUCAUUCAGUUUAGACCAUUGUAACUCCCAUCUCUGUCCACAAAAAGGCCAAACGAACUUUCUGCUGUUAAGGAACUCAGCCAUGACGUAAGGCUGGAGGGAUGGCCUGCUCAUCAGAUGUGGAUGGUCCCUGUGCGGAAAAACCAAUUCUUGCCUGUUGCCCAGGCUGGAGUAGAGUGGCAUGAUCAUAGCUCAAACUGCAGCCUCAAACUGCAGGCUCAAGUGAUCCUCCACCUCAGCUUCCCGAGUAGCUGGGACCACAGGUACACGUUAAUAAAUUUGUAUGCUUUCUCUCCUAUUCAUCUGCCUUAUGUCAGCUGAUUUUCAGUGAACCUUCAGAGGGUGACAGGCAAGUUUACAUCUUGGCCCCCACACUUUUUUGGGUACCCCCUGCUUUAGUACAGAACAUCUUUCUGGAGCUUCUUACAAAAGAAUUAAUGGGAGGUAAAUUUGAGACCUUGUCUUAAUUCUGUCCCCUCAAUCAGUAGUUUCACUGGAUGUAGAACCCUGGGUUGAGAUUUUUGAAGGCAUCACUCC